rnacentral:rRNA from 1 species
GAUGAACGCUGGCGGCGUGCCUAAUACAUGCAAGUCGAGCGAACGGACGAGAAGCUUGCUUCUCUGAUGUUAGCGGCGGACGGGUGGGUAACACGUGGAUAACCUACCUAUAAGACUGGGAUAACUUCGGGAAACCGGAGCUAAUACCGGAUAAUAUUUUGAACCGCAUGGUUCAAAAGUGAAAGACGGUCUUGCUGUCACUUAUAGAUGGAUCCGCGCUGCAUUAGCUAGUUGGUAAGGUAACGGCUUACCAAGGCAACGAUGCAUAGCCGACCUAAGAGGGUGAUCGGCCACACUGGAACUGAGACACGGUCCAGACUCCUACGGGAGGCAGCAGUAGGGAAUCUUCCGCAAUGGGCGAAAGCCUGACGGAGCAACGCCGCGUGAGUGAUGAAGGUCUUCGGAUCGUAAAACUCUGUUAUUAGGGAAGAACAUAUGUGUAAGUAACUGUGCACAUCUUGACGGUACCUAAUCAGAAAGCCACGGCUAACUACGUG